CCUACGGGUGGCUGCAGUGAGGAAUAUUGGUCAAUGGGCGCGAGCCUGAACCAGCCAAGUAGCGUGAAGGAUGACUGCCCUACGGGUUGUACACUUCUUUUAUAAAGGCAUAAAGUGAGGCACGUGUGCCUUUUUGUAUUUACUUUCUGAAUAAGGAACGGCUAACUCCGUGCCAGCAGCCGCGGUAAUACGGAGGAUCCGAGCGUUAUCCGGAUUUAUUGGGGUUAAAGGGAGCGUAGAUGGGUUGUUAAGUCAGUUGUGAAAGUUUGCGGCUCAACCGUAAAAGUGCAAUUGAUACUGGCAGUCUUGAGUACAGUAGAGGUAGGCGGAAUUCGUGGUGUAGCGGUGAAAUGCUUAGAUAUCAGGAAGAACACCGAUUGCGAAGGCAGCUUACUAAACUGCCACUGACAUUGAUGCUCGAAAGUGUGGGUAUCAAACAGGAUUAGAUACCCGAGUAGUC
rnacentral:rRNA from 1 species